rnacentral:lncRNA from 1 species
CACAAAAUGCCGAUCACAACUACUACAACUGCCGGUCUCAUUUCAUUGGCGUAUUUUUAUUCCCUUGAUUUUUCAGGUAUUUGAGGUCUUCCCUCAAGCCGUUGCUGUGUUUGAUGCAGAUGAUGACGGAGAUUUAGACUGUGUGGUAGUUGUGCGGCAACAUCUUGAUGAGAACAGCAAGACAGCUAGCUACCUAUGGCUGCUGCCGUCUCUGAACGGACGUCAAGCGGAAAACCACACCAACUAUUUAAAGGAAGGUCCAACACCUGACAAACCUGUCUUCAUAGCGGAUGACGGUGCCGAUGGUGAGCAAACGGCGAAUUUCCUAU